GGGCCCGCACAAGCGGCGGAGCAUGCGGAUUAAUUCGAUGCAACGCGAAGAACCUUACCAAGGCUUGACAUGCAUUCGACGUCUCCAGAGAUGGGGGUUCCGUAAGGCGGGUGCACAGGUGGUGCAUGGUUGUCGUCAGCUCGUGUCGUGAGAUGUUGGGUUAAGUCCCGCAACGAGCGCAACCCUUGUUCCAUGUUGCCAGCGGGUGAUGCCGGGGACUCAUGGGAGACUGCCGGGGUCAACUCGGAGGAAGGUGGGGAUGACGUCAAAUCAUCAUGCCCCUUAUGUCUUGGGCUUCACGCAUGCUACAAUGGCCGGUACAAAGGGUUGCGAUCCUGUGAGGGGGAGCGAAUCCCAAAAAGCCGGUCUCAGUUCGGAUUGGGGUCUGCAACUCGACCCCAUGAAGUCGGAGUCGCUAGUAAUCGCAGAUCAGCAACGCUGCGGUGAAUACGUUCUCGGGCCUU
rnacentral:rRNA from 1 species